rnacentral:rRNA from 1 species
CAUGCAGUCGAGCGGUAGAGAGGUGCUUGCACCUCUUGAGAGCGGCGGACGGGUGAGUAAUGCCUAGGAAUCUGCCUGGUAGUGGGGGAUAACGCUCGGAAACGGACGCUAAUACCGCAUACGUCCUACGGGAGAAAGCAGGGGACCUUCGGGCCUUGCGCUAUCAGAUGAGCCUAGGUCGGAUUAGCUAGUUGGUGAGGUAAUGGCUCACCAAGGCGACGAUCCGUAACUGGUCUGAGAGGAUGAUCAGUCACACUGGAACUGAGACACGGUCCAGACUCCUACGGGAGGCAGCAGUGGGGAAUAUUGGACAAUGGGCGAAAGCCUGAUCCAGCCAUGCCGCGUGUGUGAAGAAGGUCUUCGGAUUGUAAAGCACUUUAAGUUGGGAGGAAGGGCAGUUACCUAAUACGUAUCUGUUUUGACGUUACCGACAGAAUAAGCACCGGCUAACUCUGUGCCAGCAGCCGCGGUAAUACAGAGGGUGCAAGCGUUAAUCGGAAUUACUGGGCGUAAAGCGCGCGUAGGUGGUUCGUUAAGUUGGAUGUGAAAUCCCCGGGCUCAACCUGGGAACUGCAUUCAAAACUGACGAGCUAGAGUAUGGUAGAGGGUGGUGGAAUUUCCUGUGUAGCG